CAGGCCUAACACAUGCAAGUCGAACGGUAACAGGGAUUAGCUUGCUAAUUUGCUGACGAGUGGCGGACGGGUGAGUAAUGCUUGGGAAUCUGGCUUAUGGAGGGGGAUAACUACGGGAAACUGUAGCUAAUACCGCGUAAUAUCGGAAGAUUAAAGGGUGGGACUUUCGGGCCACCUGCCAUAAGAUGAGCCCAAGUGGGAUUAGGUAGUUGGUUAGGUAAAGGCUGACCAAGCCGACGAUCUCUAGCUGGUCUGAGAGGAUGACCAGCCACACUGGAACUGAGACACGGUCCAGACUCCUACGGGAGGCAGCAGUGGGGAAUAUUGCACAAUGGGGGGAACCCUGAUGCAGCCAUGCCGCGUGAAUGAAGAAGGCCUUCGGGUUGUAAAGUUCUUUCGGUGACGAGGAAGGUUGAUAUGUUAAUAGCGUAUCAAAUUGACGUUAAUCACAGAAGAAGCACCGGCUAACUCCGUGCCAGCAGCCGCGGUAAUACGGGGGGUGCGAGUGUUAAUCGGAAUAACUGGGCGUAAAGGGCACGCAGGCGGUGACUUAAGUGAGAUGUGAAAGCCCCGGGCUUAACCUGGGAAUUGCAUUUCAUACUGGGUCGCUAGAGUACUUUAGGGAGGGGUAGAAUUCCACGUGUAGCGGUGAAAUGCGUAGAGAUGUGGAGGAAUACCGAAGGCGAAGGCAGCCCCUUGGGAAUGUACUGACGCUCAUGUGCGAAAGCGUGGGGAGCAAACAGGAUUAGA
rnacentral:rRNA from 1 species